ACCAUCAUAUUUAAAUUCAAGACUGAUUCAGGACUUUUAGUAGUUGUUAAAUACUGGGGUCAUCCCAUUUUCUUAUAAAGGGACUAAAAAUACCCAAAGUGUUCCUCAGUUUAAAUUUCUGGGGCGAAUGACUGAGACAGCUGGAAAGCUUCUCAAGGUGGAUCCCAUUUGAAUCUCUGGAUUCCAUAUUCUUGUUAAUGAAAUAUGAUGUUUGUUAUAACUGUUACCUCUGCUAGACACAAGGAGAUACCCUCACGUGCCUUUCUGUUGUCUUUCAGCCACAUGUGCCUAUUUCUGUACUGUGUUCAUUUCAAAAGCAGUGGGAGUUUCACCUCGGCCAGAAAUUGCUUCAAGUCUUUUUCUUGUGAGCCUUUUGCUUUUAGGUGUAAUUUGUCUGUCACAGUCUUGAUAUCAGAAGGCAUUUUUUAUUUAUUUAUUUAUUUUUAACCACAUAAAUUCAGACCCCUGGACAUCUUAGGCCAUUCAUUUCCCCUGCAGACAUUCUGUCUAGGUGUUCUGCUAUUUCUAACCACUGACUUUACAACAGGAUAGUAGUCUGUGUGCAGGCCCUCUAUGAAGUACUUGUAGCAGGUCAGUGAUCAGAGUGGGUUCUGCCAGGACUUAGAUGACUUUCAGAGCAGUGCUUGAAAAUCUGCUGUAUUCUGCGCAUCUGCGUUCAGUCUCAUCUGUGGUUUCACAAAAUCUAGAGUGCACCACACAAAAUUCCAUCGUGACAGCUGAUGGGGGUCGUCUGGCACACUGAUACAACACACAGAGUGGUGGGUUGUGGUCUGCUCUGUACUGUUCUUUUGUGUUACUCAUGUCUAAUGCCACAAAUACAAAUGAGGAAAAAACAUUUUAUCUCAAGAAACAAACCUGACUGAAACUCUAAAGGUCGGCCUGCUCUGUCAACAGCAGAUGCUCUGCUCUUUUCUCUGCAUUCACUGGCCCAUGAGGCUUUGAUGAGCAGCAGUAAUUAAAAACAGCCCCUGAGAAGGAAGAUUCAUCUCCCACCAUCACUGGAACAUGAACCUGUUUGCACAGAUCUGCUGUGGCUGAGAGCCAGAGCUCUGCACAAGGAAAAGUCAUACAUGAAAAAUGAUAGAAUGGAGUAAGAGAAUAAAUACACUUUUCAAACCUUGAGAAUAUCAUAGAAAAAAAGAGAUUCAAAAGUAUGCAAAUGUGCAGAUUCUUUUAGAUGGCCUUUUUAAGUAAUGCCUUGAAUUUGAUACUGGUGAUGUUUGGGUGAUUUAUUGACAAAGUGUCUCUAUGAAUAAAAAUCAGAAGUAUUUCAGUACUCCGCAAAGAGGAGUAACUUCACUGAACACUGCACGAACAGCCAUGUGGUGACCAAGUCACAUAACACUUUAUCUGCUGAAAGGAAGCAGUAUGAAUUCAUGUUGCUGAAAGGAGACAGGUUAUGGGUUUAGAUUCUGGCAAUGUGGUAUCACUUAAUCCCUUCAGUUUAGCAAGCUUGAGUCCAAUGGAGCACUUUGGAUACGUCAGUCAGGAUUAGAGGUUAGGUGAUUUACUGCUGGGGUGGAGCAAGAGGUCGAGGGAGGAACAGGCAGUUACAGAGAAGGCACAGAUCAAAUUAGCUUGCCAGUCACUGGGUUAAUUGCGCCCUAGUGGAUGGAGCUGGGACAUGAAGAUGUAAUUCCUGGGAUGGGAAGAAGCUGCAAGCUAAACUCCCUCCUGCACAUGGUCUGGGUGGUAAUCCAUAGAGCAUUUCAAUCCAGGCUGUAUUUGAAUUACAUAAGACAGGGAAUAGGUGUUCUUGCUGCUUUUACCAAAACGUGAAUUUUUUUCUCUUGUACCUCUAGAUAGCUCAGUUCUCAGAUUAGGAGGUAUCAGUCAACCAGAGGGGUAGAAACAGUGGUUGGAAGAGUGGUCUCAGAGGGCAGUGUUUCAAGGGCUAUUCUGCCUCAAGGCUGGUAAUGACUGACUGGGAUCUGUCUUAGGAUGGGCUGUGUUUAAUGUCUUUUUCAGUGACCUGAGGAGAUGGCUGAGUGCUCACUAAUGAAGUUCCCAGAUGACAGAAAAUGGAAGGGGGCAGUCAGCAUGCUGUCACACACAGCCACCUGUGAGGGAAUGGGACCUCCUCAUGAAAUUGAAUAAGCACCCAUGUGAAGUCCAGCCCCUGCACAGUAAGAACCCUUGGCAGUGAUGCAGGGCUGGGGACUGACUAGUUUGGGCAGCAGAUCUGUCGAAUGUCAGCUGGGGCAGCUGGUAUACAGCAUUGUGGGAUGUAUUAAUAGGAGCAAAGCCAGCAGGUGAAUAGGAGGUGGUGAUUAUUCCCUCUACUCAGUACUUGUUAGUCCACCUCUAGGUACUGUGCUCAGUUUUGGCACCCUAAGAACGUGAAAGACUAAUAAAUUCCUGUGAGUUCAGUGGAGAGCCACCAAGAUGGCCAGGGCCUGGAGCACAGGUCCUGUGCGGAGAGGCUGACAGAGCUGGGAUUCCAGCAUAGCUGCUCCAAGAGCAGCCUGUCAAUACCAGUGGGGGGGUCCUGAGAGGAUGGACCCAGGCUUUUCACAGCAGCGUGUGGUGGGAGGAAGGGAGACAAAGUCAGAUGCUGAACCUUGGUAUGAGGGUGGAUGCAAGGAGAAACUUACAAACUGACUAGAAUAGAAUCAGUAAGGUAUGGGAUCAAGUUGCCCGAGGAGGUUAUAGACUCCCUCAGAGAUUUUCAAGAACCACCUCUGUAAAGCCCUGAGCAACCUGGCCUCACCUCAUGGUUGACCCUACUUUGAACUAGAUUUUGUACCUUCUGAGAUCCCUUCCAGCCUGAAUUAUCCUAUGACCCCAUUCCUGUAACAGCAUAGCUUUUGAAGUGGGAAUCAUGAAAUAGGGCAAGUUUCCCUGGCUUGACAAAUUUAGGUCACUCUGUUGUAACAUUCCAUUUUUAUUCCACCUGCCAUUUAGCAUCACCAUUGGUGAGUGUUAGCAUAGUUCAGAAGAUAACAAAUACAAAAGAUUGGUUCAUCUUACUUUUUUUAAAUCUGGGUUCAGAAUAGUUUAUCAUACAUUUGUGACAUAUGGAUAUAUUUUUUUUCCAUGCAGGCAGCUUGAAUUCAGAUUUUCACUUCUAGCUGAUUUCUGGUUAUCAGUACCAGGUUGUGUUGUUGUGCUAAUGCAGUGUGUAUUAUUAUUACAAGUCACGUAGUAUACUCAAGGCCCUGUGUGGCCAUGGGCUUAAUUCAUGGUUCUCCUAAUCCACGGAGUACUAAAUUCUAAUUUAGGAUACUGUUGUGGACUUUCGAUCUGGAUGAGUAAGGAAGUACUUUAGCACAGUUAGGCUUGUUUAAAUAAUUUAAAAAUUAUUUUAUAUGGUAAGAUGAAUAUUCCUUAGUGGAUGAUUGCCAGCACUAAAGACAGACUUGGGUUGCUGGAGACACACAUUUGAGGAAUUGCACAUCUGUUGGAGCAGCCAACAGGCACAGCAGUUUGUGCAGCAGCUUCUGGACUGUGCUUUGAAAUCUUGUGGACAUUCUGAGAGUUUCUUCUGUGAUUGAUGGAGGACUUCCAGAGACAUUUGAGGAGCAUCACUGUGCUGCUGCAUGUGAGGAUACUGCAACCUCGGACAGGUCUGGCCUGUUCCUGAAGAAAGGGUAUUCUGAGCUGUUGAACUUGUUCCUGGCUGAAAUCGACACGUGCCUUUUUAGCAGGUAUGGGGCAGCCCUUCACAAGCACUAUCUAGCAGAGAACACAGCUCCCCAUAGCAGCAGUCAAUGCAGGACAGAACCAGGGACCUCUCUGUUGGCAGCAGGCACGUGCCCUGCCAUGGUGAGGAUGUGCCGCAGAGCACAGACCCCAGCAGUGUUGAGUCGACGGUCCCUAUGACACCAGCAGCCUCACCCCCAGCGCAGCUCGACAGGGCUGGGUCUGAGGGAUGCUGGGAACCUCUCACCAGGGCUGGGAGAGAUGAGCUUUGGUGCCUGGGAGGGUCUGUGUUGCUAAUUAGCAGAGCUGUGGGAGGAUGAAAGUGUCUGUACAGCAUCAGGGAUGACAAGAAAGAUCAACCAGGACUCUGCAGGUACAAAAGCCCCCCCCCCCCGGAAACUCCCAAAAGCUCCACUUAAGGAAGUAUAGGCAGAGUCUAUUGGGUGGGAAAGCAGGACUCCCACUAUGACAAAGGCUGGGAGCCAGUGGUUUCUGGGUCCAGAAGCAUGGCUCCUGCUCCCCCUGCAGAUCUGUUACCAGGGAAGGGAUUCACUGUCUGGCAGCAGACCAGGGGCUGGAAACUCCCUCCAGUGCAGCUCCGUACCUCAGCUGGUAGCACUGGGAGAAAGCAGAGAAUGGCAGCAUUGGGACACUCCAUCUACUGAUACAACCUGGUAUCUAGGAGGCUUGCUGGGGGCUUGGAUCAUGCUUUUCCAUGUGGGCACCAACAAUGGACCAUGGAAGAUUAGGCACGACAGGGAAGGGAAAAGGCAACCCACUAUCAAGUGAUGGACCACGAUGGCAAGCAAAGGGAAUCAAGAAAACAAAAGGGCUGAAAGGGGCCAAUUUUGAGAAAAGGAAGUAUCUGCAGGAGAGCUUUAUCGGGAAAAGUCUCCUGCCUGUUAUGGGAAAUCAGAACAUCUGCAUGCCUCUCAGCAGUGCUGGUACACUAAUGCAUGUGGCAUGAUCAGCAAACAGGAGAAAUUGAGGGUUGGCAUACAGUUGCAGGGCUAUGAUCCAGUUCAGAGCAGAGAGAUAAAUAGUAAGGUAGCUCGAAUGGCUGGAUCUUCUCCAUGGAUGGAUCCCAGCUCUUAAGGGACAUUGGAACAGGAGGGUGAGGAGGCAGAGCUACCCCGCACAUGAGUGUGGCAGGGGUGCAUGGAGUUGUCUGUGGGAUGGAUGAGGAGCCAGCUGAGAGCUUAUUGGUCAGGAUUAGCAGACAGGCCAACAUGGGUGACCCGUUGUGGGUGUCUGCUACAGACUGCCUGAUCAGGAGAAGUAGUAAUUGAGGACUUUUUUAGCCAACUGAAAGAGCCUGAUGGCAGAGCUGCUCUGCUGGCAAGAACUGGAGAUAAAAGGCUGAUGAAGCAGCCUCUACUUCGUUGCAAAAAAGUUUUAUUUGAACUCAGGGUUUGUUUUUUCACCUAGUUCCCUUUUACAGUGCUUGAGACUCCCAAGAGUUAUUUAUGCUUAUGAGUAAACGGGAUGUUUUGUUAAGCAGACAUAGUACCGUAACCAGGACUGUUUCCAUUAACGUGGUAUUCCAUAGGGAUAACUUUGCGUAUUCCUUCUCUAUCAUAGAUCUUAUCUACUGAAGGAAAAAACCCAACAAAACAAAACAAACCCAACAGAGCUUUUCCUGUGUUGUGUAUGUAAUAGUUAUUUGCAGGGUUUUUAACUUUCCUUCCCACAAGGAUGGCUUAGGGUUUCUUUUAGGAUGCGGGAGAUGCCAGUGUGUGUGUGAUGUGAAUAGCAGAAACGAGGUCAAGCACAGGAGUUCAUGACUGGACUAGCAUUUGUUGGGGAGAGAGGCUGAGAUCAAAGAACAGAAAAGUGGUUAUACUGGGAAGCUGUGCUGUACAAGAGAGACAGACUGCCUCCAGUAAUGGUCAGAAAUGGGUGCCAUGGGGAGAAUAAGAACAAGAUAAACAUAUAUAGUAGCUCCCCUGGACAUUACUGUUGCUGUGAGCUAUUUUCAGUCCAGAGGAUUUCCUGAGCUUGUUGUGGUUUAACUGUUUAAUAACUUGCAAUGGAUCUCUCUUCCAAGUCUAGCCUUCCUUUCAACCCACAAAAGCUACACAUGCAGGGCAGCAAGCAGCUACUGUGUGAACUGCCUCUGAUAAUGUGUUUCUGAAUCCAGUUCCUACUACUUUCGUCUGACCAUCCCUAGUUCCGGUGGUGGAUGACAUGCCAAAAGGUCAGCCCUUGACCACCCUCCUCGUGUACUUUAGACCGUCACAAUACUGCUUUGGUUAUCUGUGGUUUUGGGUUUUUUUGAAGACUGAGAAGAAGCCAUUCCAUAUCUUUCAAAGAUGACAGCAAGGAUAAUCAAACUUUUCCAGUUCUGCUGUUUUAUUUUGACCUGAGUAGAGUGAACUGUCCUCAGUUUUGGCAUAGUGAUGGUUCUUAUUCCUUCUGAUAAUUCCUACCACUGUGUUUUCUUCUUUGAGCACUAAGCUGCUGUUUAAAUGAAAGCAUCUACCAGAAUGUCAGUCUUGCUCAUGAAGAGUAAGACAGUUGAGAGAGUAUCAAGAAAAAUUCCUAGCUGUGGGAGAACUUUAAUUCCUCCAUCAGGGAUUGCAGUUCUUUGCCUUACCUAACUAAAGUUCAAAAUGGAAAAAAACAUGAGGAGAAGAGACAGUAUUUCCUUAAACCUUUGUUUCCUUUAAAUGCUGGUUGCUCUGUGCCUUGGACAGCUGAGCCCUCUUGCUUAGGAUCACGAAUGCUGCAGUGGCCCCAGUGUAACUGUAGUAAGUGAGCCAACACUUUAUUAUUCAAACCCAGGAGAGAAUUUCUCCAUCUGAAACUGUUCAGUUUCCCUUUACCAUGUGUUCUUGUUAACUUCCUUCAAUCUAUUAAAUAUUCCCAAAUUCCCCAGUAGCUCUGUUGCCUUGCUUACUGCAAAUUAUUACAAGAUAUUGCAUGUCAAAGUUUACCUAGGCCUUGAAAAUCUGCUGCUGCAACAGCUGCAUUUGCCAUUUGACUAUCAGCCUGGAAUUUUUGUAGGUAACUGCUUCUUUCUAUUUUUAUUUCUAUUAAAGGAUAAAUUGAUCAGUUUUGCAAACCAACCUCUGGUUUUUGUACCUGAGGAAAGGGUGUGUGUUUCUCGGUUGUAUGACUAGUAUAGUAUUUAAUGAACUUAGUAGCUGGUAAUUAGCUAGCGGCACGUAUAGAGUCACCAUAAUACUAUGUUAGUCUGCUACUAAGCAAUCAAAAGAAAAACUCCAUAGGCUUGUAACGCCUGAAGAGGAAAGAUCUCACUGGUAGUGCCACUCUCUUAGCAGGAGCUCCCAGUGCUUCAGUUACAAACAAGCAGAUUUUUUUGUGGCUGAUUUCUUCCAAAUUUAUGGUCAGCCCUGCAACAUCUGAUUCUUUAACUUGGGUUUCACUUAGCCUGUGGUGCUGUCAUCUGUUUAUGCUUCUGUGUCUGUCUGUUGCAUGUUGUGUUGGUGUUUAAUAUCAAUAAGUUGAGCUUCAUAGUCCUGAUUUGAUUUUUUUCUAAGUAAAUACACUUUUCCAGAGGUUCUUCAGAAACAGGCCUGAUUGUGUGAAUGACUUAAGAGAUGGCUGUGACCAGCAAUGAAAAUGGUGCCAAUUCCCACCCCUGUCUACAUUUCAUGUUGCUGUGAACAAUGCCUCAAAGUGUCUCUGAUUCUGUUGGCUAAGGUGAUGUCAUGCUCAUUUUUUUUAUUGGUUAUAAUGGUACAUCAGACUUUGAGAGAAGACUUGAAAACCUCAUGCUGAGGUGAUGGAGAGAAGGACUGAGUCAAAAUGGUUCAAAAUAGUUUGGUAGUUUCUCGGAGGUUGAAUGAUAUCUUCAUGUUAGGACACACCAUGGCUUAUGGUGAGAGAGAUCCUGGGAGCCAGCUCAUGGUGGCCUGAUCUGGGAUGCUAAGCAGCUGCACCCCAGUCUGGAGUGUCCCACUCACAGCUGCUGUCCUGAAAUGGUGGCAGAAGGUCACUCCCAACCAAGAGAGAGGUGCAAGAGGACAUGUGUCUGCAUCUUGCCCCUUCCUCACUUGAACAACAGCUCGUGGCCCUUUGGGUUGGGCUCGGCUCAGGCCAGGUGCAGGCAGAGGUGCUAGGCUUGUUAGCACUCCACAUGCUGACUGAGCAGGUGUUCCCUGUCUCCUCCAGGGGAAAGAGGCUCUGGGCCAGGGAGAAACCUCCUCCCACAGGCUGGGUCUAGCUGGGUCUGCUGAACUAGCCCAUCCACACUGUAACUGUGCUGAAAAUUAUCUGCUUGUGCAAGAUUUAUAUAUUUUACUUAGCAUGGUUUGGUGUGUGGGUAUCAAUGAGCACAUUCUGAAAACAGCUUCUGCUUCUGUUUUGAACCUCUAUAUCCAUAAAUCCAAGACAGUCAACAUAUAUUAGGUUUGGCACUGUUUCCGAAGUGUUGCUUUAUAUUCAUGUGAUGCUGUACAUGUAUUGAAAUAUUUUUUUAAUCUAGGAAAUUAAUGUUAUUGUUGUUAGGCUGUUCGAAAAGGCUAAGGCUGAAUUAUCAGUGUGGCCAGUGGGCGUUAGCAGGAACUGCUUCCUUUGUUAUUUUAAUCCAGUGAAAUUGCUCUUAAGGGGCUUUGAGUUAGGAGAAGAAAGAGCAAGUUUGGUGCCUCCACUUUAUAGGCAGGCAUCUUCUCUGAACUAUGCAUUAUGGAUCAUAAUAAAUAGUCUAAAAGCACAAUAUGCAGACAAGACAACAAUAUCCUAUCAUCUGGUAAUAAUUUUGAUUGCAAUGCAGUCAUUUAAAACUUUGGUCUUUUCAGGAAAGGAUAAAUGUAGAUGGUACAGAAUAUGUAUGAAAAAAGGACGUAUAGGGCAAGGUAGGACAUGCAUGGUGGCUUUAAAUAGAUAAACAGUGAGGCAAUUAAUUUGAAUGGUGCUGGGUAGAACAAGUGCUCAGGGAGGAGGUGUGGAAGAGAGCUGGAGAGAGCACAAAUUCCUGGGUACUACUAGAAGAAGCUGAUGAAAGAAGAAGGAUUACUUAAAAUAAUUUAAAUAUUGACUUGUGCUCUGGGUAAUUUCUGUCUGACUUCGUGGCAGUUUCCUUUUACCCAGAUAUUAGUCAAAUCCAUGUACAUUGUUAUGCUGAAGAAAAAUUAUUUUCUCAAAGACAAUGUUUCCAGUUUGCAAGAUGAUCAAACAGAUGGUUUAAAUUUGUUCUGAUACUCUGUGUUUUUUCACAGUCUCUUUGUAAGUUUAUUUAAGUUACAAAGAGACUGUGAAAAAACACAGAGUAUCAGAACAAAUCUAGACCUGUCUAGAACAGUGUCAUUUCCCAGAUGAGAUAGCUGCUUGAGGACAUAGCUGUCUUCUCUCUCCAAAAAGAUAAUCCUCAUCUUCAGUAAAUAGUAAUGACUGUGGUUCCGUGCCCCUCCAGGACUUUUGCUUCUUUCUCCACUCUCCAAAAUGAACCCAUGACCUCACUGCCUCCUACUGUAGCUUCUAAAAGAGGUCCUUCAUCGUCCAUUGUCCAUGGACAUUGCCAUGUUCUUUUCUGUUUCUGUUAGUCACCCUGACUGAUCCAGUAUGGAUCCUGUCUUGCAUGACAAGAGGGAGCUGGGAAAAAGCAGGGCAGCAUGGAAGAGGUGAUAUUCUCAGUCUGCCAGAAGUGAUAUUCCCACUGUGGAGCUAUUCAAAAGUGCCGACAUUUCCUUUUAGCAUCCCUCCAACUGUUCUCUUUUUCCUUGCUGGCAAAGCACCCGCUGCAGCCCACAAAUGAUAGCCAUGGGGGUUGUCUUCCAAAGGGCUGCAUGUGUCACUGUUUGUCCUGUGUGUUACAAGCUGACACUGGUUUCUGAACUUGCUCGAGUUUGUUCAGACUGGCUGGUUUCUGUCCUCAGUAGCAGGCAGAACUGCCAUAGCCCCUGGUCUGCCUCUUAUGCAGCAAAUACAAUUAACAAAGAUCUUUUGAUGUGCUCAUGGAAGCCUUGAUCAACUGAGCAGCUCCAGAAGACUUAUUUGUGCAUGACAAAACAGUGGGGAAAAAAAUUAUUUUCUUUUGUUUUCCCACCUGAUUUUGGGACAGGGCUGCAAAUUCAGCCCUGAUUUGCUGUUGCACACUGCUGGUGCCAUUUUAGUGAUAUACGUCUGUUGCUGUUGUGAGGGACGAGAAUCUAGUCCUGGAUCUACCUCAGCAAAAACUUUGAUGGGGUGCUGGACUAAUUCCUUUCCAUAUUUAAUUUAAGCAGAGCAGAAUUAGAUUGUAAUUGGAUACCUUUGAACUCCUCGUAGCUGUUGUCUCUAAAUCAUUGUUAGUACAACCAAAUAGUCCUUCAAACCAAUGUAAAGGCCAGUCAAGAAUAUUAACCUAGUGGCUCUUUAUCAGGCCUAGAAAUGCAGUGUCAGGAAGGAGUGUAACUACACAGAACCUUAAACUUCCCCUUUCCUUCCUCUCCAUGUCUUUUAUGUCUUCUUUCCAAGAAAAGGGAAAACAGACUGGUAUAGAGAUCUAUGUCUAUUUUUUUUUUCUUAUUCCUCUCCACACUUUAUUUUCCUUUUUUGACUGAAUCAGGGUCUUUGUUCUUUUCUGAUACAUAUUCUGACAGUCUUUGGGGAUACUAGUGACAAGUAGAAUUAAAUACUAUUGUGGCAGAAAUUUCUUGGCUGCUUUUAGCAUCAGCAAAACGGUCAAAAUGGUGGACCAUGUAUUUGCCCCUCUUCCUGGUUUCGAAAAAUGCCUCAGCAAUCAGAUCCUCCUGAGACAAGAUAGUUUGGAGUGGUCAGUUUCAAUGAGAACAGAAUAACAGCUCAUAAUGGGGGAAGUGUAGACAUUAUUUAUCCCAUGCAAAAUGGCAGUGGAUGUUGCUGAUAUCAUGGUUGUUUGGAAAAGUUAGUAGGGUUUUUUCCCCCCAUUUUUGGAUAGCAUCUGAGGUAAGAAGAUCAGGGUACAUUCUUUUUAAGCACCUUUUUUAAAAAAUGACAUAUUUUUUACAAACUUGUGGUUGUGCAUCUAUGAAUUCAGGCUCUGCAAGCAGGUUUGGACAUACUGCUGUCUGCUCAUGGAGACAGUGGGGCCUCCUCACAUUUAUAGGGUUCGGGAGUGCUGUGAGGAAAAGGAAAUAUUGGUUGUAACCAUCUUCUUUGGGUUUAUAUUCUGGUGUAUUUUUCUGUCUCUCUGAGUGAACGACAUAGCUAAUCUUUCAGGUGGCAUAGAUAAUGUAAAACAUACACAACCUGUUUUGAUGAUUUCCCCGUUACGCUGGGCUGGAUUUUCAAAUGACAAAACAUGUUUUCACUUCACCAGUAUAGUUCUAGUCCUCACAUAUAUAGAGGAAAAUCUGCCCCAGAGAGGGAAUGAAAACCAAUAUACACAGAUUUAAAUCACAGAGGCAUAGAAUGUUAAGAGGUUGCAGGAGACCUUAAAGAUCAUCUAGUCCCAACCCCCCUAGACACCCCACUAGACCAGGUUGCUCAAGGCCUUAUCCAGCCUGUCUUUGAACGCUGCCAGGGUUGGGGCAUCCAUAAGCUCCCUGGGCAACCUGCUCCAGUGUCUCACCACCCUCACAGUAAAGACUUUCCUCCUAAUAUGUAACCUAAAUUUCCCCUCUGUCAAUUUGUACCCAUUACUCCUUGACCUAUCGCUAUAGUUCCUGGCAAAGAGUCCAUCUCCAGUUUCCCUGUAGGCCCCUUUCAGAUACUGGAAGGUUGCUAUGAGGUCUCCACACAACAUUCUCUUCUCCAGGCUGAAGAGCCUCAACUUCCUCAGUCAAGUAUUUUGGUGUUUCAGCUAGCCUGUUCCUCUCAGAGGAAUAAGCAGAGACCUCAGAGUACUUGUGGGGUAAGAGAAGGGGAAAGAUCCAAGCCCACAACCUGGCAAAAGCACCUUCUGCUCUCCAAAAGACCUGCCAGAGCUCCCUGACAAAGGUAAAUGUUCAUGACCGUGUAAUAUAAUGUUAGUCUAGAGCAGGUUUGGUGCUGCUGAGGAUUCCUGAAGAGCAGCAGGGGUCAUUGGAUCAGGGGAAAGCAGACAAAGAACACCACGGCACCAGUGUCAGAGCUGGAGGAGAAAGGAAAAAAAAAAAAAGUCAGGAAGAAGUGUAAGCUGUGGCUUGAAGGUGUGGAUGGGCAACUUCAUGUGAUGAAGGUGCAUUUGAGAUAAAACUGCAAAUCCCUGGAUAAAAGCUGAUCGGAUCGUUCCGUGGCUGUUAACGCCGCGUUCGUGGGGGUUGUUUCAGAUGGGCUGCAGCGAACAUCGCCGUUCCCGAGAAGACGACGGUGGCGCCGGCCGGGGAGGCAGCUGGUCCGUGUGGCGGACAGCGCGCAUGCUGCUUUUAUUACCGAGGGAAGGGAAGGGAAAGGAAAGGGGUCCGGUGGCCGAGCCCGGCCCUCGCUCCCCGGGCGGCCCGGCCCGGGGGCGGUGAGGGCGGUGGGGUGCAGGAGCGCGCGCCGGCCGGCAGGUGGCGCCGCCGGCCCCCGGCGCGCGCGAGGGAGGGGGCGCGCGGCCUCCUUUCCGUGAGGGAAUAACGGACGCCCGGUGCGCAGCGGCUCUCGAAGCGGGAUAUUUCCACCUAAAAAGAUGUCAUUUUUCUACAAUGCCUUCCCCCCCCCCCCCCGCUUUUUUACCUCCUCUGAAGCUGCUGAACCACCCAGUACCUGGUGUAUUACGUUAAGGUUAAUGGCUCUGGUUUGUAGGGCUGUUCUGCUUUCCUUAAUGAUGUUAAGGGAAGGAGGAGUAUAAAGUGCUGGAUGUUUGUUUCAACUCUAUUUUCUCAAACAGCAAAAGGAUUCAAAACAGGUUGGAAAAAUAUAACCUUGAGUGAGAAUUUAUGCCCACAAACACACAAGGGGAAUUUGCAGGUAAAUUAGUUUAUACUGCAAAGAUGUAUCCAGUAGAGCUGUCCAACAUAUCACAUCACUAUUUGGCAUUAUAAGAUCCAAGCACAUGAUUUCCAUGAAAAAACCACAACCCCUGAAAACUGUCACUGCAAAUUGCUUCUAGUUGCUCUUCGAAGUAGAAGCCUUUUUCUUAUUUUUUUUUUCCUCCAGUUUACUGACUUUUUAAUUUUUCUCCUUGUUCUCACCUAUUUUCUCUAAUACCGUAAAGUCUAAAGCUUACAUGACUUUCUGAGGACUGCUUUUCACACUAGAAAGAAAACCUAUUGAGUACAGUAUUUCCCAAGAAAGUGUUAUGAACAACUAUGUUUCAGAAAUGGGCAGCCCAAACAGAUCUUGUAAAGAGCUUGCCUGUUCUUCAGAUUGCCCUACCCACUGUGACUGAAACAUCAGUUUCAGCUUUAUGUCACAGAAAUAUACACCUUGAUUUUAGCAGGGAAGUGACCUCAUUGUAUAGACACUGGUGAGGACAACUUUCCUCAGUGUUGUCUUUUGUGUUUAGUGACACACGUUAUUGAGAUAUAAAGGAAGUGCCAUAAAAAUGGUCCAACAUCUGGGAAAGAUACCUUAUGGUACAAGACUUACAGAGUAAAACCUUAUGCAGCUCUUUGGAAUGAUGAAAGAUGUAAAAAUAAAAUUUUCUGUGGUUUGGGGUUUUUUUUCAGUUUUGGUGAUGUAGCUGAAAGAUACUGUACCUCCCCCAGUCUGAGUGUGGCCAGCCUUGUAGCAAGUGAGACACAGUCCACGUUUCCAUAUAAAGGAGUGAAACAGCCAUACGAAGGCCACAAGCAGGGCACUAUUUCUCUGUGCCAGUGGCAUGGCUGACCCAUCUGGCAUUACUCUCUGGACUUAAGAAGUUUGCUGAUCACUUUUGUGUUCUGUAAAUAUUCCCAUGAAUGGGAUAUCAAGGGGAGAGAGAAGAGCUAAUUACCCUGACUUCAUCUCUGCCCAGUUUCCUCCCUGGUUAAAUAGGGCUGACACAUGCCUUGCAUGGAGAUUAAAGCUGGUUUGUAAUGGACAAUUUUAAUUAGGGCUGCUCAUCUAGUUCUGUAGAAGCUCCAGUCAGCCUGGUGGUAGCUCCAAAGAGCCCGGUGGAUGUUUGAUUCUGCAGAACCCUGCAUAUCAUGAUAAAUCUGACAGGCAUUUUAGUUGGUAAAAAAACCCCCCAACAAUGGCUAGAUGUUUAGCCAGUUAAAAAGCAGUGGCCAGACAUUGGUCACUUCCUAUUCCUUAGCUCUCAGAAGUGGUUUCAAGAAGGCAACAUUUUUAUAUUAGUGUUUCUACAUUUCUGGCCUAUUUUCACCAGUAGGAAAGAUGGAAGUGAGUGAGGAAUAAAAUCUUGUAGGGACAAAAGUUAGCUUUUCUAGAGCAGUACUACAUGCAAGGAAAAUGAAAAUACGACUUUUUUUUUUUUUUUUUGUAAAGGAAACAUUAGAGUCAGUGAUGGCUCAACCAUCAUGGCAGGUUGUGAUGGAAUAGAGCUGAACCCAGGCCCUGUACAUGCCAUGGGUCUGUAUUCCUCACUCCUUUAUCACUUGUGCUCUGGGAGCUGCCUUCCAGCACUGUGACAGGCUUUUCAUGAAGGACCUCUCAAAUUCUGGUUUCUAGUAAGGUUGUGACCCAGGGGGAAGAUUAGUUUCUUCUUUAAAGCUUCCCAGGUUAAGCUUAGCUUGCCUCUGUCCAGAUACAUGUCACAGCAGAGCUCUGGUGUGCAGCACUCAUCAGGGAGUCCUGCGAGACAGGAUUCCUCACUUCCUUUGGAUUAGUGCUGGCUUUCUUCUUUUUGCUUUUCUUAGCAGCAGGUAUGAAGGGACUGGUUGAACUGGUCUCUGCCUUUCAGAAAAACAUUUAGCACAAGAACACCUGCACCUGCCCAAUGUCAUUCUUUAAAAGAUGCCUGGAGUCUUCUGUUCCCUAGUACUGGACUGCAUCACAAGUUAGCAGGGAAGACACCUGUGGUGUGCGCAAGGCUUGGGAAAGAGAGAAAAGAUGAGAGGACCUACAAAACUGACAGCACUCACAAACUUCAAAUAUCUUUCCCACAUCUCCAACACUUCAAAACCAAGGUCUGGGCUCAAGUGUGUCAGCAACAGCCUCAUCACCACCAAAUAGUGAGGGUGUACCACUCCUGUGUUCAGUGUGCUACUAUAUAGGUAGCAGCAGUGUUCCUCUUGUUAUAGCAUGAUGCUAGUGACACCAGGGCACUGCUCUACUGUGAUCUCCUAUGUCAUUUUCAGAACUGCUGCUUAGCAGGAUCUGAAUCUGUGUUCCACAGCAAGUGUGUCUCUUGUUCCCAGGCCACAUGACCUUGUAUUUGUACACAUUGAUUUUCAAUCAAAUUUGAAUUGCUUCUGUCCACCUCUGCCUUUAAGCAAGAUGAAUGCACAGGAUAAGCCUAAUGCUCAUUGAUUAAAAAAAAAAAAAGAAAAAGUAAAAUCACUUUUAAACUAGAUUGAAGUGGCUCCUGAACUCACUGAAAGACUCACUUUAAAAACCAAGCUCCAAUGGAAGCUAAUAUGAACACUUUGGUGUGCUCCUUUGCAUCAAUUCUGUCUUCUAAGUAUGAAAGUCAAGAAAAUAAGCAGGAGUUAUGUUUCAGGCUCCCAUGCAGAAAGACAAGGAGUACAAUCUCUUUCUCAUUUUCCUUCUGAUUACAUUGUCCUGUUCAAGAUGUGAUGUGGAGCUAACUUGCAGCAAAGCAAUUUCAUUUCUCAGAGAGAUGAGAACACAGAGGACCAUCAGAGACGGCAAGGUACCAAGUGAGGCAUAUCAAAUAUCAGAUAGAACAUAAGCUCCCCCACCUCCUGUAUGCUCAGCCCUCUAUUCCUGUGAAAGUGAAACGAGAUAGUGUUGAAACACUGAAAUACACUGACCCUUAAAGCCCCAAAAUUGUAUCCUGAGGAGACUGAGCACUACACCUCAGAGAGACAUGGGUCCUCCUCAGCAUGCCAGGGCUCAGGGUUAAAGUGAAACUUGGUGUAAUUGUAAGAUGACCCCAUUUCCUUAAGGAAUAUGAUUCUGGGCUGUCUUGUUAAGGAGCCACAAGGUUGGUUGUAACAUUACUCAUUAAUGAAGUUCAAGGGUGAUAAUGGACAAUAGGAGUGGGAUGACAACAAGAAAUAGCAUGAGCAGCAGAUGUGGCCUCCCAAACUAACUGGGAGAGAGCUUGCAGGAGCACAAAAAUGUUCACGUUUUUUCAGGCUGCUAAAGAGCUGUUUAUUUGCUCUGCUGAUUGCCUCUGGCCAAUUUUAAUCUUGAGAGUAUGCCUGCCUUGUUCUCUGCUUUGAUCUCUUUCCUUCUGAGUCAAAACACAAAGAUGUUAUUAAGAUAAAUUAGUAAAGACAGCUCAGGAACUGGGUGGGAAAUGCUGAUCAUCAUCUCCCCUGGAGAUAAAGUAAUCCCCAUGCUCAAUCAAUUCAGAGUAUGUAACAGCCCUGAACAACUCCUUUGAAACAUGGGAAAACAAUGGUGCUCUAUGAAUUGAUUGUAUUUGGCCUAAUUAUAGAAGACCUUUGAAUAGAAGUACUUAGAAAUAAAUUGGAAAGAGUGCUAGAAAUAUGCAGUGCUGAAUAGGCCAGCAUAGGCUGAGUACCCUGUAUGCUGUAACAUUAAAUACCCUCUUUCUAUGCAGGCCUGGUUUCGUUAAUUGUCAUAAACAAAGUAGAGAAAGUGUUCUGGAAAACAAAAUGCUAUAUAAACUCUAGUAAAGAAAAACACAUGGGAGUGUCUGAAUCGGGCACUGUUUCCAUUUGAGAGCAGCCCUCAGGAAUUGUUUGGUUUUGAGCAAAAUGAAUGAAAGUUGAAGUCUGUGCUUUUUGUGCUUUGAAUGCCUCUGUGCUAACAGAUUUGUUUGGGAGCAUAUGGGUUAAGCUGGUAAACUUUAGCAAUUGGAGAUGACAAAUACCCUAAAAAGAGAAGGUAAGUUUGAGAGUUAUUCUGAAGAAAGAGGAGAUUAAUACCAUCAGGGUAUUUAGAAGAUUCAGAUAAUAAUUUCACUAAGAAAACUCUUAGAACUCAGCCUACAGCUAUAAUACAAACCACUCAUAUAUAACAUCACUAAUAGAAACCAUCACCUAUUGACAUAAUUUCUCCUAAUGUAAAGAAUGCUUUGCAUAUUGUCUUUUUACAAAGAUCACUGUAAAUCUGAGAUAUAAGAUAAUUAAUGUACAGUUGCUAUGAUUUUUAUAAUUUAUGAAAAUCCAUGAACAUGUAAUGGUGCCCAUAGACCUGAAGGGUAUACCUCAGAAGCAGCAUAAAGCACCAGGGUACAGUGCAGAACACAGGAUGGGGUAGUAUUUCAGUGCUUACAGCAAUGUUUGUAACCUUCCAUUGAGCCUACCAGGGGGUCUAACCCUCCUAAACUAACAUUUCUGAGGGGUUUUUUGGGGGGUUGUGGUUUUUUUCCUGGGGUAACUCCAAGACUACACUUUGACUUGCAGGCCCGAUGAGGAGUUUAUUUGCAAGUAUUGGUGGGUAGAAAACCUAAGCAUAUUUUGACAAGCUUCUUCCUAGAAAAACUUGUAUGGUAGGGAAGGAUGAGGAAUAAUUGUGAAUAUAGGCAUGUCUCUAUUUUUGUUUCAGAGCACAAUAGAAAUAACAGUAUGAUCAGGGGCUGGGAUCAGUCAGGAUAGGAGGAACCAAAAAUUUGAGAAAAUCCUCCAUGAAAUUCCAUUAAAUUGGACAUUUGUGACCUUGUUUGUGACCUUGAACUUUCAGUUAAACAUAGCUGAAUUUUUGUUGGUUUCAAAGUUCUAUUUGGUCUGGUCUAAAAUGAAAAAUAAGAGAAGUGAGCACAAGAAGGAAUGUUUCUGAGGCAAAGGAGUUGCUCUAAGAGUGUCAUAGGGAGCUGCACAGGAGGAGGUAUUCUGAAGCUGACUUGAAGCUAGCAAGGUCAGGACUGAGUGAAGAAAAAUAAAAGAGCUAUGGCAUGAAGUAUUAUGAUUUUUUUCCUCCUUCCUUUUUUUGUUCUAGGCUUCUCUGAGAAGAUGCUGAUGAAAAGCACAGCAUCCCAAUGCUCACUUCCACAGUAUGAUUGUGUUGCAGUUGAAAAUGGGAUUAAGGAAGGUAGGGCAGCUUCUUUCUUGCAACUCAUCCAGCCAUACACACGGUGCUUGCUUCAGGUGAUGUUCACUGAGAUCUAGCAUUCAGGGCUGAUGCAGCAUUUCAGUGCAAGUUAAAAGGGUCCAUGUCAGAAAUGACAAAAUUGGCUUGGAGUGACUUUUGUGGAUAAUAAAAUAGAAGCAUGCAUUUAAAUGGCACUUUUUAAUCUAUAGCUGUUGAACUGCUUUGGCAUAACUUCUUAAGGGACAAUACUGCCUCAAUUUAUUAGGAUAAACGUCAGCCCUGUGUCACAGAUUACCAGUGACUUCCUCAAGGUCACGCGAGGAACUGCUGAAGAACCAGGAAUAUAACCUAAUUCAACUGGCUCCUAGGUCUCAGGGCCUAUUUGUGGCUCAGCAUUAAGCCAGGUCCUGCUCCUCUGUGAAGAGAAAGAAACAUUUCCCUGUAUGCUCUUGACUGGGCUAAAGUAGAUGGAAAAGCCAGUCACCAGCAAAAGAAACCUUAUAAGCUUUUUCACCUUUAAAGCAGGCUAACUUUCUUCGAGGUAGGAAGGAAAUAGUAGAGUCCCCAGUUAGCACAGCUGGGUCAGGAUAGAUACAGUUGCUAGUAAUAAUUAUAAGUUAAUUACUUCCAAGUGAGACUGAAGUGAUUGCAAAGAGGAGGCUAGUUGACCCAAGUUCCCGUCUCUGGCUGUAACUAUGUGAUAGAGCUUUUCAAGGAUGAACUACAUUUGUAGGCUGUCAUGCACCCAAACUUCGUGUAGCCCUCUAGCUCAGUAUUUACUGUAUUCAUGGUAACACACAUUGCUGUUGUUUGUAACAGCACAGAAGUUUUGCAAGAGCUCUGCGAGGCCUCAGGACUUCAGGCUUUGUCUGGGCUUGUCUUGGCCUGCCUGGGGCUUUGCUUUAGCUUACUUAGCUGCAAGGGCAAUUUCCUAAUGAACAGGUGACUGUUACACAAUUUGCUCUGCUUUUGCUUAGUUUUGUACAGUUAUGUGAUGUAACCAUAAUUUUUAUUUAGCUGAGAGUAACAAGUAGUUAUUUCAUGUGGAAUGAAGAAUGCAGGACCCUAGCAAAAUGAUGUGGCAUGGAGGACAAUAAACAUGGUAUCAUGGCAGAGGCUCAAAAGGAAAGCUACUGGAUGCACUGCAGAGGAGUACAGAUCUGAGGUGUCAAUAGAGGGCUAUAAACAAUAUAUCAGUGGUCAACUGACUAAUAGUUAAAUAAAGGCAGACCUGACAACUGCAUAAAAUUGAUUUUAGGCAUAACAAAGAGAAAGUAUCCAGUGUACAUAAAAUCUUAUAUAUGGUGUGAGGCCAGCCACCUUAGGAUUCAGGUGGGCAGUGACAAGGUGAGCAUAAAGCAGAAAAGGGGUAGGUACUAAGAGAUGUGUGUUACAGUUUCAACUUUGUCAUUAUUGAGACUUCUCUUUUUUCCCCUAUGAUAAUUAGAUCAAGAUUAAAAAUUCAGUGAUUGCAAGUUAAAGAUUCAGUGACAGUAACAAUUGGCUUCACUCAUAAGUUGUGCCUUUUUGGCCAUACAGGACUUUUGAAGAAAGAGCAUCCAAAUGUCUUCCUAAAAAGAUUGUCAUCACACAUUGAGAAUACUAAGCGAGAAGCUGUGGUGGUGAAAUAGGUGCUCACCAGAAAUUCUCUAAAGACAAUACUAUGUGUUUUCCUUAGCCAUUUAUUUACAAGAAAAGGAAUUGCUUAUUUGAUCUGUAGGAGGUGAAACAAUGUAAUAAAAUUCUGAAAAGACAUCCCUAUGAUUUAUCUGUUUCACUCAAAUAUGUAUCUUUUACUCAGGAUGUUUGCUAUCAGUACUUCAAUAAGCUUUGGGAAAAGUUGUUUACAUCACUUGUUUUUGGAGGAAAGGAAUGAGAAUGGAUCACUUGUUAUUAAGAGAAAAGCUGAGAAGCUGUUUGUUAUUGAUUUGUCCAUUGCAUACAGUAAAUAUUUCAUUCAGUUAUUUAAUGAAGCUGUUCUCAAAAUAUAAUGUAUUGUAUUUUGUUUUGCCUUAUAACAUUGAUAUGCUACAAGAAACUUGCAAUAACACAAGAUUUAUUGUUAUUUUUAGGAUAUGAUUUGAAUCAUAUGCUUUUAUAAUGAGGUUUGGCACAUGUGCUGUGACUUUAUGUUUCCUGAGCAAGUAUGAAUAUUAACAUACCUUAUUCAUAAAACAAGCCUCUAAUUAAAAGACAUUUUUAUAUGUAA